AUGAACAGAGGCUCUGAGACAAAUGAGGUCACAGCCUCUGUCUGGAUUGAUAUUUCCCCAAUGACCCGCAGACCUGGGAGGACCAGUGGCAUCUCAUACCCCAGGGGAGGAGCAGCUAGUUUUCGGACUGCUUGUCUGUCACAGAAGCUCUCAUUUAAAGUUCUACGGUACCUUCUUGGAGUGAUAAUGAAGGCCCCUGGGAAAGGGAAAGCCCCUAUGCAGCAGAUUGAUGAUGCUGAGGCAGGAUCUUCCAGAUUAUGGCUACCUCAUUCCAGUACUACCAAGACUGGAGCAUGUCAGUUGAGCAACAAGGUGCAAAAGAAGAACCGUCUAAAGAAAAUUCUCAAGAAGCUGUCACUGCUCAAGCUGAUAAAGCAGGCUGAUCGCAGGAUCCUCCGGCUACGUGUAUUGGCCAGCAGGUGCUGGAAGUUACUGACAUUCGAGAAACCUGCCAGUCUUGUUCCUGGCCCUGCUGGAACAAAAGCAUCCUCUAUGGAGCCAAAGAAGCCUGGAGUGGACGCAGAUACUAGUCCUGUUGUCAACACUGCCACAGAGACUGAUCCUGACAUUACAGAUGUGAGCCCUACCACUCACCCUAAUGUAGAGACUGCUCCUAUCAUUGAGGAUGCUGACCCUGUUACCAUUGCUGGGGAUGACAUGGAGAUAGAUGCUGAUAUUGUGGAUGCUAGACCUGCCUCUGAGGAUGAUAUGAUGGCUGAUGCUAACUUGGUGCUGUGUAACCCAGAGCCGCCCCUGGAGGUCCAGCCUGAGAUUCAGGAGUGGAGGGCCUGUUUUGAAGGCCUGCCCCAGCGGCUCCACGUCCCUGCCCCUAAAGUGCUCUGCAGACCAGCUGUCCAGCGAUGGAUCAAACCAUGCUGUACUCGGUCCUGUGGCCAGACACUGGAGCACCCAUCAACUGUCUGGUACCGGGAGUAACAAAACCUAUUUCUGUCUUUCCAAACUGGGUGGAAACUAGGUUGAACAAUUGAAGGAGAGAGCUGCUGAGUGAUGUACUGAGCCAUAAUUCUAUAAAUAAAGGAAAUAACCUGCAUCCUUCA
rnacentral:lncRNA from 1 species